GAGUUGGCUGGGUAAUCGCUGCUUUGUCGUUGUGUCUUCGGGCAUACGGGCAAAGGGGAGGAAAGUCCGGGCUCCAUAGGGCAGGGUGCCAGGUAACGCCUGGGGAGCGCGAGCUCACGACCAGUGCAGCAGAGAGAAUACCGCCGAUGGCCUUAGGGCACAGGUAAGGGUGAAAGGGUGCGGUAAGAGCGCACCGCACCACUGGUAACAGUGUGUGGCAAGGUAAACUCCACCCGGAGCAAGACCAAAUAGGCCUCCAUUAGGUGCGGCCCGCGCUGGAGGCGGGUAGGUUGCUUGAGCCAGUGAGCGAUUGCUGGCCUAGAGGAAUGAUUACUAAUCGAGCGUGCUCGAUACAGAACCCGGCUUAUAAGGC
rnacentral:RNase_P_RNA from 1 species